GACAUAGGUGGCGAACGUAUCCGGAAUUAUUGGGCGUAAAGGAUGCGUAGAUGGUAGAAUAAGUUACUGGUCGAUGCCAAACUCAAUUUGACGGAAGCUGGUAAUACUGUUCUGCUCGAGGGCAGGAGAGGUUGAUGGAAUUCUGUGUGGAGCGGUGAAAUGCGUUGAUCUACAGAGGAACACCAAAAAGGCGAAGGCAGUCAACUAUUUCUAUUCCUACAUUGAGGCAU
rnacentral:rRNA from 1 species